GACGAACGCUGGCGGCGUGCUUAACACAUGCAAGUCGAGCGGUAAGGCCCUUUCGGGGGUACACGAGCGGCGAACGGGUGAGUAACACGUGGGUGACCUGCCCUCAGCUCUGGGAUAAGCCUGGGAAACCGGGUCUAAUACCGGAUAUGACUCCAUGACGCAUGUUGUGGGGUGGAAAGCCUUGUGCGGCUGAGGAUGGGCCCGCGGCCUAUCAGCUUGUUGGUGGGGGAUGGCCUACCAAGGCGACGACGGGUAGCCGGCCUGAGAGGGCGACCGGCCACACUGGGACUGAGACACGGCCCAGACUCCUACGGGAGGCAGCAGUGGGGAAUCUUGCGCUAAUGCGGGAAACCGUGACGCAGCGACGCCGCGUGGGGAAGAAGGCCUGGUGUAACU
rnacentral:rRNA from 1 species